CCUACGGGCGGCAGCAGUGAGGAAUAUUGGUCAAUGGGCGCGAGCCUGAACCAGCCAAGUAGCGUGAAGGAUGACUGCCCUACGGGUUGUAAACUUCUUUUAUAAAGGAAUAAAGUGAGGCACGUGUGCCUUAUUGUAUGUACUUUAGGAAUAAGGAUCGGCUAACUCCGUGCCAGCAGCCGCGGUAAUACGGAGGAUCCGAGCGUUACCCGGAUUUAUUGGGUUUAAAGGGAGCGUAGAUGGGUUGUUAAGUCAGUUGUGAAAGUUUGCGGCUCAACCGUAAAAUUGCAAUUGAUACUGGCAGUCUUGAGUACAGUUGAGGUAGGCGGAAUUCGUGGUGUAGCGGUGAAAUGCUUAGAUAUCACGAAGAACUCCGAUUGCGAAGGCAGCUUACUAAACUGCCACUGACAUUGAUGCUCGAAAGUGUGGGUAUCAAACAGGAUUAGAUACCCCUGUAGUC
rnacentral:rRNA from 1 species